rnacentral:rRNA from 1 species
AUUCCGGAGAGGGAGCCUGAGAAACGGCUACCACAUCCAAGGAAGGCAGCAGGCGCGCAAAUUACCCAAUCCCAACACGGGGAGGUAGUGACAAUAAAUAACAAUAUGGGGCCUUUACGGGUCUCGUAAUUGGAAUGAGUACAAUUUAAAUCUCUUAACGAGGAACAAUUGGAGGGCAAGUCUGGUGCCAGCAGCCGCGGUAAUUCCAGCUCCAAUAGCGUAUAUUAAAGUUGUUGCAGUUAAAAAGCUCGUAGUUGAAUUUCGGGAUCUAUCCGUCGGUCGGGCCUCACGGUCCGCACUGGUGUGAUGGAUUCCUACCUUCUGAACAGCCGGUAUGCCAUUAAUUUGAUGUGCCGGGGAAGCAGAACCAUUACCUUGAAAAAAUUAGAGUGCUCAAAGCAGGCUUGUGCCUGAAUACAUUAGCAUGGAAUAAUAAAAUAGGACGGCAUGGUUCUAUUUUGUUGGUUUCUAGGAUCACCGUAAUGAUUAAUAGGGAUAGUUGGGGGCAUUAGUAUUCAAUUGUCAGAGGUGAAAUUCUUGGAUUUAUUGAAGACUAACUUCUGCGAAAGCAUUUGCCAAGGAUGUUUUCAUUAAUCAAGAACGAAAGUUAGGGGAUCGAAGACGAUCAGAUACCGUCGUAGUCUUAACCAUAAACUAUGCCGACUAGGGAUCGGACGAUGUUAAUUUUAUAAUGACUCGUUCGGCGCCUUACGGGAAA